rnacentral:tRNA from 1 species
AAUUUAAUAUGCGGGUGUAGUUUAAUGGCAAAACCUCAGCCUUCCAAGCUGAUGUUGUGGGUUCGAUUCCCAUCACCCGCUCCA